rnacentral:tRNA from 2 species
GGAGAGCUGGCCGAGUGGUCGAAGGCGCACGCCUGGAAAGUGUGUAUACGGCAACGUAUCGAGGGUUCGAAUCCCUCGCUCUCCGCCA